UUGACUUCGAAUUCUUAAGUAACGUUACAUGAAGACGAGCGUAACCAUGGAGAUGUUAACUGUAGCGUAUUGUUAGCCUAUGAAAGACUUUUAAAAAGAACGACUGCUGAACAUUUCUGACCUGGAUAUGGAGAACUGCUUGAUCUGACAUAGGGAAAAAUCUGAGUGGAAUACACAAAGGAAACUACUGUUAUUGCCAGCCAGGGAAUCCUGGAGGGAGUGAUAAGAACCCUGGAUUUGACCCUGUCCGCUCCAGAUGACUGCAUCUCCUCGUCCCUGGAUCCAGAUGGUCUGUGUGUCCUGGGGUUCACAUUUGCUGCCAUUGCUGAUC